rnacentral:rRNA from 1 species
CCUACGGGGGGCAGCAGUGAGGAAUAUUGGUCAAUGGACGAGAGUCUGAACCAGCCAAGUAGCGUGAAGGAUGACUGCCCUAUGGGUUGUAAACUUCUUUUAUAUGGGAAUAAAAUGUUCCACGUGUGGGAUUUUGUAUGUACCAUAUGAAUAAGGAUCGGCUAACUCCGUGCCAGCAGCCGCGGUAAUACGGAGGAUCCGAGCGUUAUCCGGAUUUAUUGGGUUUAAGGGGAGCGGAGGUGGAUUGUUAAGUCAGUUGUGAAAGUUUGCGGCUCAACCGUAAAAUUGCAGUUGAAACUGGCAGUCUUGAGUACAGUAGAGGUGGGCGGAAUUCGUGGUGUAGCGGUGAAAUGCUUAGAUAUCACGAAGAACUCCGAUUGCGAAGGCAGUUCACUGGACUGCAACUGACACUGAGGCUCGAAAGUGUGGGUAUCAAACAGGAUUAGAUACCCUAGUAGUC